CCUACGGGAGGCAGCAGUGAGGAAUAUUGGUCAAUGGGCGAGAGCCUGAACCAGCCAAGUCGCGUGAGGGAUUACUGCCCUAUGGGUUGUAAACCUCUUUUGUCGGGGAGCAAAAGCCGGACCUGUCCGGCUGUGAGAGUACCCGAGGAAAAAGCAUCGGCUAACACCGUGCCAGCAGCCGCGGUAAUACGGAGGAUACGAGCGUUUUCCAGAUUUUUUGGGUUUAAGGGGGGCGCAUGCGGAUGUUUAAGUGAGCGGUCAAAUCUUGGGGCUCAACCCCAUCCAGCCGUUGAAACUGGGGAUCUAGAGUGUGCGAGAGGUAUGCGGAAUGCGUGGUGUAGCGGUGAAAUGCAUAGAUAUCACGCAGAACCCCGAUUGCGAAGGCAGCAUACCGGUGCACAACUGACGCUCAGGCACGAAAGCGUGGGUAUCGAACAGGAUUAGAUACCCGGGUAGUC
rnacentral:rRNA from 1 species